UCUCCGUUGGUGAACCAGCGGAGGGAUCAUUGCAGGACUCGCAAGACUCCUUCACCCUGUGAACCUCACUACACGCACGUUGCUUCGGCGGAUGUCCCGGCGGGGGUUUUCCCUCGCCGGGGCGCACAGCCCGCCGGCAGCCUACUAUACUCUGUAUCUUUGCGUUGGCAUCUCGAGAAAAAACAAACAAGUUAAAACUUUCAACAACGGAUCUCUUGGUUCUG
rnacentral:misc_RNA from 1 species